UGACAGAUGAGCACUGUGGCAAGGGUCAGUGCUAUUGCAAUGCUCUAAUUAUAGUGCUGGGGAGACUGGAGGCUGCCAGGAUGGAUACAGGAAUAAAGAAUCCUCCUGUGGCAUGGGAGCCACUUGUUGUUUUGUUCUUGGUUGCUUAAUAGACCCAGGGACGUAUCCUUUGAGGAAGGAAAAGCAACUUUGAGGUUAUAAUGAGCCCCAGGAAUGCUGAAUGUAUAUAUAAUUAGACACUUAGGAAAAAGUCAAGGAGCCUCAUGUUUACCGUGCUGGCUCCGUCUCCUGCGCUUUUGGCACUGUGGUUUCUCAGCUGAGCUGCAGGCAGUUGCCUGGGCUGUUAAAUAGCCUUCACCAGGACAAGCAGCUGAGGAAUCCCUGCGGCUCACUCCGCACUGUGCCGCUGGUGGGUAUUGCUCUUCCAGAGGGCUCAGCUUUAAAGGAAUUUGCUCGAGGGAAGGCGACAGCUGCUGCUCUGAUGAAGGAUUUUUCUGAGCAGGCCUCCCAAGCAAGACGUGUCAGGAUGAGAUGCUGCCUACGCUUUUCAUCACAACCAACAGGUUGUUAA
rnacentral:lncRNA from 1 species